GACUGUAACCCCAAUUCCCCAUCUCCCUGCACCACAGAAAAUGGAACAAUUCCUGUCCCAGAUGGGGACCUAAGCCUCUCACGCCUUUUUAUUUCUGACAUGUCCUGAAGACCUAUCAAUCCUGAUGGUGUAUGGCAGCACACAACAGCAAACAGGGCUGUGCUCCUAUCUUCCUUCUCCCUGUGUGGAUCCAUGGGCUGGUCACCGGGACUAGAUUCACCCCAGCUUGCUUCAGAAGUUUGAACCACCAUUUACCAACCUCAGGUCAUCCCAAAGUAAUGUGUCCCAGUUGUUUUGAUGCCUUGAGGAACGACAAGAAAUCGUUUGGUUUUGUGUAUGAGCCCAUUAGGCUAGACGUGCUUCAUUGCUGUAGCAUGUCCAUCACUGGGCUGACACCAAACCCAGGCCUCUGUGUGCAGCUACCUAGCAGCUGUGGACAGAAGGCUGCACGAGGACCUCUGGUCCCCCAUCAACCUACCAGGGCUCAGAAGCUGAACCUCCAACAUCUACCCACUUCCUAGACAUGUGAAGACAUCCAUCACAUGUGAACAAGAGGUUAAAGCCACCAGGUUUGGGCUGCCCUUCUCUGGCAAGCCAUCAAGCUGAAGCAGUUGCUCAGCGGAAGUUUGAAGACUGAUUUUUUUAUUAAGGAAAAAACUUCCCACUGGACAUAUGUCAGUGUCCAGAUCUGGUGAGAGCUGAGGGAGAGCUCAGACGGAAGGUGAACCGAGAACACGGCCAUAGCCCAGCACACCUGGAGACCUAAGUAGUACUACAGAAAUUACUUUCUUUUUCCUUAAUAAAGCCAAAUAAUUUA